rnacentral:rRNA from 1 species
UACGAAGGGGGCUAGCGUUGCUCGGAAUCACUGGGCGUAAAGGGUGCGUAGGCGGGUCUUUAAGUCAGGGGUGAAAUCCUGGAGCUCAACUCCAGAACUGCCUUUGAUACUGAGGAUCUUGAGUUCGGGAGAGGUGAGUGGAACUGCGAGUGUAGAGGUGAAAUUCGUAGAUAUUCGGAGGAACACCAGUGGCGAAGGCGGCUCACUGGCUCGGUACUGACGCUGAGGUGCGAAAGCGUGGGGAGCGAACGGG